ACGUAGGGAGCAAGCGUUGUCCGGAAUUACUGGGCGUAAAGGGUGCGUAGGUGGCCAUGUAAGUCAGAUGUGAAAGACCGGGGCUUAACCCCGGGGUUGCAUUUGAAACUGUGUGGCUUGAGUACAGGAGAGGGAAGUGGAAUUCCUAGUGUAGCGGUGAAAUGCGUAGAUAUUAGGAGGAACACCAGUGGCGAAGGCGACUUUCUGGACUGUAACUGACACUGAAGCACGAAAGCGUGGGGAGCAAACAG
rnacentral:rRNA from 1 species